rnacentral:lncRNA from 1 species
GGUGUCAGAAUGUAACGUGCCAAAGCAGGGGUGCCUGGGAAAAGCAGGGGCCCCUGAUAAAAUAGUUGCUACCAGCAGAGUCUGGCCACCAGCCAAAGAAAGGCCAAGAAGCCAGGGAAUAUGCACUGAAAGACCAAAAUUGUUAUUUUAUCUGUAUGUUCUUUAAUAGGUAGCCCUUGGCCGUAGGUACACAAUUUUUAAAAAAAUAGUAAGUACAAUGAGAAGUCUCCUAUUCACAAGGUCCCAGUUACUUAUAAACCUUCUGGAAGUACUUAUGCAUAUUUAAGAAGUAAUGGUAUGCUUUAGUCUUCCCUGUUUCUUACAUACACGGUAAUAUAUUCCACACACUGUUCUAAUCUUGCCCUUUAAGCUCUGUCCUGGAGGGAAUUCCCCGGCGGUCCAGGGGUUAGGGCUCCGUGCUUUCACUGCCGAGGGCCCGGCUUCGAUCCCUACUUGGGAUACUAAGAUCCCGCAAGCUGAGUGAGUGGCCAAAAAAAAAAAAAAAAAUCUGUCCUUGAGAGCUUUCCAUGAUCAGUGCCUCCCACUUUGUUCUUUUAUAGCUAGUGGUAUUCCACUGUAUGGGUUUCCCAUAACUAAUGUGAAUUAACUGUAGUUAGAUCCCUAUUGAUGGAGAUUUCAGUUGUUUCUACUAGUUUGCUAUUACAAAUGAUGCAGCAGUAAAUACUCUUAUGCCAGUGCCACUGUGUAGGUAUUCCAGUGUCCCGUAGGAUUAAUUCCCAGAAGUGGCCUUGCUGGGUCAGAGCUGGCUGUCUUUGUCCUUGUGACAACUACUGUCACACUGCCCUCCCUGGGCAGAAGCCUCUGGGAUGGGUCAGAUCAGCCUCUAAGCCAUCCCGUGGGUAAGUGGAAGAAGCUAGGGCACCCCAGGAUGUUCGGGUAGCUGGCCCAUAGCCGAGUCAAGGGAGGGUCAAGGUGAGAGGUGACAACCAGAAGGUGUGCUUCAAGACAGCAGGGCAUCGGCCGUGCUCACAGUGGUAUGUCCAGUGCCUGGUCACUGCCUGGUGCACAGAAGGCCCUCAAAGGAAUGAGCGUGAUAUUGUGAAGAGGAGGCCCUAGAGUUGGACUGGGUGAGUUUGCUGAGCUGUGUUUUCCCCAGGUAGACCAUGUCCUAAGUCUAUCUGCAGGGUAUAGGGAGGAUUGGAAGUAUUGUAGUACACGUAAUGCAAUGACAGCUGAAUCAUAGAGACGUGAUGCUGAGCGAAAACAGCAGAUUGCAUAAAAUGACACUCAGUGUGAUAGCAAAAAUAAGCAAAACUAAACCAUCUAUUGUUUGGUGACUUAAGCACGUGUGAUAAAACAGGAGAUCAGGGGAAGAAAAAGCACAAAAUUCACAUGAUGGCCCCUGUGAGGGGAGUGGGAAUGGGGUAAGGAAGGAUCCCAGGAAUUUGCAAAGGUGUUGGUAAUAUCUUGCUUCUCAGGCUGGGUGGUGGGUUCAUGAGUAUUCGAUUUAUAGCUCAGUUCCUAAUGCACAUAAGGUUCCACACACCCUUUUGUAUGUAUCAAAUACUAUGUGAGGGAAUUCCCUGGUGGUUCAGUGGAUAGGACUCUGUGCUUCCACUGCAGGGGGCACUGGUUCGCUCCCUGAUCUGGGAACUAAGAUCCCCCAUGCCACGCCACACAGCCAAAAAAAAAAAAGUAAGAAAACAUAAGUUUAGGUAUUUUAAAGGAACCACUUAAAAAAACUCUGUAAUGGCUUAAAAAACAAAAUCAAAAAGGCAACAUAAUCCUUUCCCAGAUGAUAAAAUCAAGUGGAGAUAAUGAAAUCAAUGUUCCAGUGACGAACUAUGGGCAGGUCCCCCUGUAGCUGCUUUCUUCUGUUGCUUCGUUUAGAACAGCUUUACUGAGGUAUAAUUGGCACACAAUGAACUGCAUAUAUCAAAAAUGUACUAUUUGAUGACUUUCACACAUACACACCAGUGAAACCAUUAUUGCAAUGGAGAGAAACAUUUCCAUCACCUGCAAAGCUUCUUCCUCUUUGUAAUCAGGGCCUCCUGUUCCUCCUUGUCUCCCCAUCCCGAAAUAAUAUUGAUCCGUUUUCUGUCAUUAUAGAUGAAUUUGAAUUUUUCAGAAUUUAUAUAAAUAGAAUCAUAUUGUACGUACUCCUUAUUUGGCUUCUUUCACUAAGCAUCAUUAUUUUGAGAUUCAUCCAUGUUGUUGCAUGUAUUAAUGGUCAUUCCUUUUAUUGCCAAGUAGUAUUCCAUCAUAUGGAUGUACCACCGUUUGUUUAGCUAGUUGCCUGUUGAUACACGUUUGGCUGUUUCCUGUUUUGGACUAUUUAUUACAAAUAAAGUUGCUAUGAACAUUC